rnacentral:misc_RNA from 1 species
AAGUCGUAACAAGGUUUCCGUAGGUGAACCUGCGGAAGGAUCAUUAUAAAAUUUUCAUAUAUUAUUUAUUUAAUAUAUAAAAUUAUAUACAAAAUGUAUUCAAAACCCACACUCUUUAUAACAUAAAAAAAAUUAUAUUAUUUAUAUAAUAUAAAAAAAACAACUUUCAACAACGGAUCUCUUGGCUCUC